rnacentral:pre_miRNA from 9 species
GGGUUCCUGGCAUGCUGAUUUGUGACUUAAGAUUAAAAUCACAUUGCCAGGGAUUACCAC